rnacentral:rRNA from 1 species
UACGUAGGGUGCAAGCGUUGUCCGGAAUUAUUGGGCGUAAAGAGCUCGUAGGCGGUUUGUCGCGUCUGCUGUGAAAACUCGGGGCUUAACCCCGGGCCUGCAGUGGGUACGGGCAGACUAGAGUGCGGUAGGGGAGACUGGAAUUCCUGGUGUAGCGGUGGAAUGCGCAGAUAUCAGGAGGAACAUCCGUGGCGAAGGCGGCUCUCUGGGACGGUACUGACGCUGAGACGCGAAAGCGUGGGGAGCGAACAGG